rnacentral:rRNA from 1 species
AACGAACGCUGGCGGCAUGCCUAACACAUGCAAGUCGAACGAGACCUUCGGGUCUAGUGGCGCACGGGUGCGUAACGCGUGGGAACCUGCCCUUAGGUUCGGAAUACCUCCCCGAAAGGGGUGCUAAUACCGGAAAAUGUCUUCGGCCCAAAGAUUUAUCGCCUUUGGAUGGGCCCGCGUUGGAUUAGCUAGUUGGUAGGGUAAAAGCCUACCAAGGCGACGAUCCAUAGCUGGUCUGAGAGGAUGAUCAGCCACACUGGGACUGAGACACGGCCCAGACUCCUACGGGAGGCAGCAGUGGGGAAUAUUGGACAAUGGGCGAAAGCCUGAUCCAGCAAUGCCGCGUGAGUGAUGAAGGCCUUAGGGUUGUAAAGCUCUUUUACCCGGGAUGAUAAUGACAGUACCGGGAGAAUAAGCUCCGGCUAACUCCGUG